GACGAACGCUGGCGGCGUGCUUAACACAUGCAAGUCGAACGGAAAGGCCCUGCUUUUGUGGGGUGCUCGAGUGGCGAACGGGUGAGUAACACGUGAGUAACCUGCCCUUGACUUUGGGAUAACUUCAGGAAACUGGGGCUAAUACCGGAUAGGAGCUCCUGCUGCAUGGUGGGGGUUGGAAAGUUUCGGCGGUUGGGGAUGGACUCGCGGCUUAUCAGCUUGUUGGUGGGGUAGUGGCUUACCAAGGCUUUGACGGGUAGCCGGCCUGAGAGGGUGACCGGCCACCUUGGGACUGAGGUACGGCCCAGACUCCUACGGGAGGCAGCAGGGGGGAAUAUUGCACAAUGGGCGGAAGCCUGAUGCGGCAACGCCGCGUGCGGGAUGACGGCCUUCGGGUUGUAAACCGCUUUCGCCUGUGACGAAGCGUGAGUGACGGUAAUGGGUAAAGAAGCACCGGCUAACUACGUG
rnacentral:rRNA from 1 species